CAGCCGCCACGGUAAUACCGAGGAUGCAAGCGUUAUCCGGAAUGAUUGGGCGUAAAGGGCUCGCAGGCGGUUUCUUAAGUCUAAUGUGAAAGCCCCCGGCUCAACCGGGGAGGGUCAUUGGAAACUGGGAAACUUGAGUGCAGAAGAGGAGAGUGGAAUUCCACGUGUAGCGGUGAAAUGCGUAGAGAUGUGGAGGAACACCGGUGGCGAAAGCGGCUCUCUGGCUUGUAACUGACGCUGAGGCUCGAAAGCGUGGGGCACAAACAGGAUUAGAUACCCCCGUAGUCCCUGUCUCUUAUAC
rnacentral:rRNA from 1 species